GCGUUUCUGGCCCUGCCAGUGUCUCCGCCGGUUGAAAGCGCGUGUCUGCGUCGGGUUCUGUUGGAGUGCGUUCGGUGCGCCGUGGGUCCGCGCUGCUUCCACCCAACUUCCUGUUAGUUUCUCUCCUGUCACAAUGGCAUGAUCUCGGCUCACUGCGACCUCUGCUUCCUGGGUUCAAGGAUUCUCCUGCCUCAGCCUCCCAAGUAGCUGGGAUUACAGGAAUCUCACCAGUGACACGCGUUUGUGAAAAGCUGUGAAUAUUCAGUGCCACAGGGUUAAACCUCGGUACAGAAGCGAGACCCUGCUGGGCAGAGAAAGGGUGACCUGGAAGGUGUGUGAGGGCCCCGCCCAUGGGCCCCUGUGAUGGUCAUGGCCUCAAGAAUCACAGUCCAGUUUCCAUCAUUAUCUUCUAUGGAGUUCUUCAUUCCCACAUCUGUGGACCUUAAAAUCCUACCGUUGAGUGCCUGCCUUGGAUCAGCAGUCAGUUCGUUACCUUGGUUCUCAGACGAUGCUUGCAACAACGCCAUGCGAUUCGCCCACUCUUGGGUUACAUUAGUUAUACACUCUGGAGGUGACUUGACCUGUCAUUGUGAACAAUUAUUGCUCUUGGACGACCCAGGACAUAGGCCAGCCAGUACGUACCCCAGUGUGUUGGAGAAUCGCGCUCGGCUUCUUCCUCUGUGCUGAGUCAUGAAAGUUGCCGGAGCAGGUGCAGUUACACAACCUCCAGGUAUGAUCCUGUUUAAGGACUGGAUUUAGGAUAACUACUUAGAGGUUAAAAGUCACAAGGGUGUAUGGAUGAGGCUGGAGUGAUCUGGGACCAAAGACAUCUAGGCUUGCUGUCAAGGCUUCUGAUCAACAUGAGAUGACCGCCGUGUGGUAAACUGAUGAACCCUGACCCUGAUCAACAUGAGAUGACCGCCGUGUGGUAAACUGAUGAACCCCGACCCUGAUGAACGUGAGAUGACCGCCGUGUGGUAAACUGAUGAACCCCGACCCUGAUGAACGUGAGAUGACCGCCGUGUGGUAAACUGAUGAACCCCGACCCUGAUGAACGUGAGAUGACCGCCGUGUGGUAAACUGAUGAACCCCGACCCUGAUGAACGUGAGAUGACCGCCGUGUGGUAAACUGAUGAACCCCGACCCUGAUCAACGUGAGAUGACCGCCGUGUGGUAAACUGAUGAACCCCGACCCUGAUGAACAUGAGAUGACCGCCGUGUGGUAAACUGAUGAACCCCGACCCUGAUCAACAUGAGAUGACCGCCGUGUGGUAAACUGAUGAACCCCGACCCUGAUCAACAUGAGAUGACUGCCGUGUGGUAAACUGAUGAACCCUGACCCAUUAGGCUUUGGCUACAGAAUGUGGAAAUAAGUUGUGUUACUACAUGUGUGUAAUCCUAGGGUGCAGGACACCGGCCGGGAGGUUCCAUAGAGUGAUGGGUUCUGCAGGUAACUCAUCCUCUAGUCCUCUGUAAGCUCCUAGAAGGAAGAAAUUAUGUCCUUUAGACUAAUAAAAUUCCUCCAAACCAAAUACAGCACCUACUGUGAAGACACAAAGAUACUUUUAGAAUAGUAAAAACUUUAUCCAUUGAGAAAUUCCUUAAUGAAACAGUAUCCAAGAAGUCAUUUGCCAGCAGAUUUCUUAGAGGUGCGAUAAAGAAGAGGACAUUGCCAGUCGUCACAGCAGCUGCAAUAGCUCCUCUCUAUUGUUAAACAGUGGGAUAUCUUGUGCAGGUUUUCAGUUGACAAUCAAUUUUAAAGAUUAGUUUCGGUCCCCAUCAAUCAAUUAUUUAUUAACCCAUCAAUAAAAAUUUAAAUGCUCUGUGAGGUACAAUAGCUAUUAAAAGAGACAGAGGCA
ensembl:lncRNA LINC01128 long intergenic non-protein coding RNA 1128